rnacentral:rRNA from 1 species
AUCUUUUGUAGACUUGGAUAUCUUUCUGAAUGCUUUUAGUAGCAUGUCAGGUUUGAGGAUUGAUUUUAUUGUCUGUCUUUACAUUUCCAGGUCUAUGUUCCUUCAAUAUACCCCUAAUUUAUGUUAUAGAAUGUAUUAAGUGGGCCUUUGUGCCUAUAAACCUUAUACAACUUUCAGCAACGGAUCUCUUGGCUCUCGCAUCGAUGAAGAACGCAGCGAAAUGCGAUAAGUAAUGUGAAUUGCAGAAUUCAGUGAAUCAUCGAAUCUUUGAACGCACCUUGCGCUCCUUGGUAUUCCGAGGAGCAUGCCUGUUUGAGUGUCAUUAAUAUAUCAACUUCUUCAGGUUUUUUUGCUUGUUGAGUGUUGGAUGUGGGGGUUUUGCUGGCCUUUCUAAACUUUCUAAAGGUCAGCUCCCCUGAAAUGCAUUAGCGGAACAAUUUGUUGACUGUUCAUUGGUGUGAUAAUUAUCUGCGCUAUUGAACUGUGAGGCAAGUUCAGCUUCUAAUAGUCCAUUGACUUGGACAAAUUUUUUCAUUUAAUGUGACCUCAAAUCAGGUAGGACUACCCGCUGAACUUAAGCAUAUCAAUA